ACUCCGCAUUCUCUCUCUCUCUCUCUGUACCUGCAAGAACGCACAGGCUCGCCAUUUGUAUGGGAAUUCUCCGACACAGAUCUCUCAUUCAAUCUUCCAUGGUUCGUUUCAUCACUCUAUCCGAUUCAUCAAUGGAAUUCGAUUCUCAGCUUACCGGCGGGAACUGCGAUCUUCUUCGUGAAGUUCGUGUCCGUACUUGCAUUCUUGCUUCAUUUUUUGUUACUUCGCUACUCAAAGAUUCCACGGUUCCUCGAACUUACGUUCGUAGAAGCUAUAUUGUAAAAAUCCAAGAUAGUUGAAAAUCCAAGAAAACCUGCAAUCUUACGGCACCGACAUUGCUGCAGAAACUAUAUUGUUGCUUUUUAAUGGUCUUUACGGAAACAGUAGAUCGUUUUGGACGGAGAAGGCCGAUUCGAUCUCCGAAAACGGACGUUUUGGGUGGCAGAAUGGCCUGUGCCUUUGCUAUGGGCAGAACACAAAAAGCAUUCUGUCAGUUUGGGCAUAUGACCAUGCCAACCAAGAUCUGAUAGGUCCCACUAAGUUCCUGCAUUUUGUCUCAUCACACUCUCUAGGUAGUUUGUGAUGAUCUCAUUUGAAAGGAUGAGGUCUGAAAGCUUCAACGUCUAGGCUGAAAUAACCAUUAAUGUGGCCAUACCUGUUUCGGCAGUGCCCUCAUUAUUUUGAUUUUUCUGCUGAAAUCACACAAAGCUUUGCCACCAGUGGUUACCAUGUGCCAUUGACAACACUGAGAAAACCGGUGGCUGGGAGGGUGUCCUCCAAAGAUAUGAUCAUUUUUUUUUCUUGGACCUGACAAGUGUUGUAUCUUUAAUUCCAUGAAAAAAAAACCAAGAAAAUAGAAACUUAAGGUAUUAAUGUUGUGAAUCGUAUUUUCCAAAUUUUUGUUUAUUCUAAUUAAGGUUUUAGUGUUUUAUAUAAUUAUAUGAUACUAUCUCAA